rnacentral:lncRNA from 1 species
GCCCGAGCGGCAGCGGUAGCGGCCCUGGGUGUCACCCGUCAGCAGGAACUGGUGCUUGAUGGCAGGUGACACCUGCGGAGACAGCCCCCGUAAGGCUCCUGUUCCCGCCCCCUCCCGCCCCAGGGACCCAGACCCCAGGAGGCCUCACCCCACAGCAAGAGAAAGACCACGAGCAUGGACAUGAUGGUCGCGCUCACUCCGGUGCAGUGAGUGUCUGGGUGAUGGAUCCUAGAACCUGUUCUAGAAGGAGACGCUGAGUUCUCCCCACUCUACCUGGAGCUGCUGAGGUCAAGUGGAGAGUGCCGGGGCUGAAGCCCAGCGAGCCCCUCCCUGUCACACCACACUGCACAUGUGACACCAAAGGUGGGGUUCACCUCUUUUCAGACUUUCUGCGGUUGCCCUCACAUGGGCUGUCUGGAGGUGCACCCUCACUCUUCCUGAGGACUGUGGUUCCUUCUCCAUCACUGGUUCAUUCUGCAUGGUGUGACCCACCACGGCUCUGGAGUCGGAUUUCCACCCAGGUCAUUCAGCUGAGACCUGCGCUUCCCAGGCCUACCCGUGACAUGUGCUCAGUUACCUGAGCUGCUGGUGGUCACUCAUGUGGCUAUAGCCUGCUGCCUGGAGGCCAGGCCUCCCGCUUCCCCUGCCUCCCCCUCUCCUCACCACAGCCUGUUGGGAUGGAACAGGACAGGGGUGAGACCGUGGUGCUUUCACACUCAGCCUCCAUGGACAUCCUGUCAUUCCCACCCGGGGAGGUCUGGUCCCCACCCUGGGUGUCCCAGCCUAGCUCCGCUACGAGUGUGAGGGCCCAGGGCAACCGCCUAGCCCUCAUCUGCCCCCUGCACUGCAUCCUCCCCACUCAUUCAUUCCACAGGCAUUUAUUGAGCAUCUACUGUGUGCCAGAUGCAAAGAAGACAGUGGGAUAACUGGGCAAGGAGCAUUCCAGGCAGAGGGAACAGCCAG